rnacentral:rRNA from 1 species
CCGCGUGAGUGAAGAAGGCCUUCGGGUUGUAAAGCUCUUUCGGCCGGGAAGAAAUCGUGUUCUCUAACAUAGGACAUGGAUGACGGUACCGGACUAAGAAGCACCGGCUAACUACGUGCCAGCAGCCGCGGUAAUACGUAGGGUGCGAGCGUUAAUCGGAAUUACUGGGCGUAAAGCGUGCGCAGGCGGUUUUGUAAGACAGAUGUGAAAUCCCCGGGCUUAACCUGGGAACUGCGUUUGUGACUGCAAGGCUAGAGUACGGCAGAGGGGGGUGGAAUUCCUGGUGUAGCAGUGAAAUGCGUAGAGAUCAGGAGGAACACCGAUGGCGAAGGCAGCCCCCUGGGCCUGUACUGACGCUCAUGCACGAAAGCGUGGGGAGCAAACAGGAUUAGAUACCCUGGUAGUCCACGCCCUAAACGAUGUCGACUAGUCGUUCGGAGCAGCAAUGCACUGAGUGACGCAGCUAACGCGUGAAGUCGACCGCCUGGGGAGUACGGCCGCAAGGUUAAAACUCAAAGGAAUUGACGGGGA